AAAAAGAGGCAAGCAGCUACCGUGAUAUUCUCUUCUAGCAUCUAUAAAAAGGUAGUUUUUCUUCAACAUUAUGCAUAGCAAGAAAGACUCCUCCCAAAUAUAGUUUCUUUGCUGCUUCUCUUGAUAUGGCAGGUCUCGUGCGAGGGUUAGCUGACUUGAUCGAUGAAGGAGAUGGCAGCCGGGCUGUGGCAACUCAGCCUCGCUCAAAUACCAUCCGCAAUUCUCCACUUCCUCUUCAAGCUCCGGCAGUCG
rnacentral:lncRNA from 1 species